rnacentral:rRNA from 1 species
AUUGAACGCUGGCGGCAUGCCUUACACAUGCAAGUCGAGCGGCAGAAGGGCGCUUGCUCUUGGAUCCAGCGGCGGACGGGUGAGUAAUGCCUAGGAACAUGCCUGGUAGCGGGGGAUAACGUCCGGAAACGGGCGCUAAUACCGCAUACGUCCUGAGGGAGAAAGCGGGGGAUCUUCGGACCUCACGCUAUCAGAUGAGCCUAGGUCGGAUUAGCUAGUUGGUGGGGUAAAGGCCUACCAAGGCGACGAUCCGUAACUGGUCUGAGAGGAUGAUCAGUCACACUGGAACUGAGACACGGUCCAGACUCCUAAGGGGGGCAGGCGUGGGGAAUAUUGGAACAUGGGCGGAAGCCUGAUCCAGCCCUGCCGGGUGUGUGGAGAAGGUCUUCGGAUUGGAAAACACUUUUAGUUGGGAGGAAGGGGAGUAGGUUUAAACCUUGCUGUUUUGACGGUACCAACAGAAUGAGCAACGGCUAACUUCGUG